rnacentral:rRNA from 1 species
AAUGGGGGAAACCCUGACGCAGCAACGCCGCGUGGGUGAUGAAGGCCUUCGGGUCGUAAAGCCCUGUCGGGAGGGAAGAAAUGAUUGAGAGCUAAUACCUCUUGGUCCUGACGGUACCUCCGAAGGAAGCACCGGCUAACUCCGUGCCAGCAGCCGCGGUAAUACGGAGGGUGCAAGCGUUGUUCGGAAUUAUUGGGCGUAAAGCGCGUGUAGGCGGUCUUUUAAGUCUGAUGUGAAAGCCCCGGGCUCAACCUGGCAAGUGCAUUGGAAACUGGCAGGCUUGAGUCUGGUAGAGGAAAGUGGAAUUCCUAGUGUAGCGGUGAAAUGCGCAGAUAUUAGGAGGAACACCAGUGGCGAAGGCGGCUUUCUGGGCCACGACUGACGCUGAGACGCGAAAGCUAGGGGAGCAAA